rnacentral:lncRNA from 1 species
AGGUAACAUCUUGGGUUAUUAUAGAUAUUGUUGCUGUCAAAAUCCGGCCUAAUGAUGGUGAAUCUCAUUGAAGAUCUAGAGACAUGGAGGGUGUUGUUCGAUCCACAAUGGUGGAAGAUAAAGCACCAAUUUAACUUGGAGAGUCGUGGAUCUGCACACAAAAAGAAGAGAACAUCGUUGGAUUGGCUCCGACCGAGCCUUCUGAUGUCUAAGUCAGAAGAGGCUUUGGAAUGACAGCAGUAAAGGAAAAAAUAUAAGAGA